GAGCGCUGCCUGCGGGGGCGGACCCACCUCCGAGGAGGCCGCGCAGCUCCGCUGCUCCGGAGCCGGGUGUUUGUCACGGACAUCGGCCGCUUCUGGAGACUCAUCCCCGGGAGUCUGUGUGUUUACAGGAAAUAAACGACUUCUGAUGCAAGAAGCACGAUGAAAUUCGGUUGCCUUUCCUUCCGACAGCCCUACGCAGGGUUGCUUCUAAACCGAGUCAAAACGGUAGAGACUCGCUGGCGUCCUUUGCUAGCAGGCUACAAGAACUGCACCAUUGCUGUUCAUAUAGCUGUUAAGGACUGGGAAGACGAAACGUGGAGCGAAAUUCUGCUGAAUAGGUUCGGCAUGACAUCGAAACAACUGCAAGAUUUGUUGGAUGAAGGGGAAAAAUUUGGCAGAGGAGUUAUUGCAGGAUUAAUUGACGUUGGAGAGACAUCAUUAUAUCCAGAAAACCUGCCUCCUGAAGAGAUUCUGGAGCUGGAAAACAAAGCUGUCCUCAGCAAUCUAGAACAGAAAUACUUGACUGUUGUUUCAAAUCCCAGAUGGCUCCUGGAACCAAUUCCUGCCCGAGGGAGAACAGGGGUGUGGCAGGUGGAGAUCCCUGAAGAACUGAUCCCUUCAGAAUUUUAGGUGUUACCCCUUACUAUUAUUUUUCCUGCCUAAAUGUAGAUUUUUAUUUAAGUUGCUGACUUGUGAAUUACAUCAGUAUCUUGUUUAGGAUUCUAUUCCAAAACUAUUUCAAAUGGUAAAUAUAUUUGAAAAACUACUUUUUUGAUGCAAAGCAAACAAGAUGUAUCUUUAUGACUAUUACAGGAAAUUAUUAAUUUUUUCUACACUUUUCCUGUAUGAACACUGACAUUUUUAAAAUGUAUAGUUAUGGAUGGCCAAUUGAAAUGUAAAUGAUUUUUUGACACCUGCAUCUCUGAUUACAGGAAAAUGGUGCUUAAAAGCAGGCUGCCACAAUUAAUAAGACAUCUGUCCCAGACCAUCCUUGUCCUGCCUUAAGGAUAGAUUAUUUUCUUCGUAUUUCAGGUGAAAAAUACUAGUUAUCUUUGAAAACCUAAUACUGAAUUCAAGAGAAGUGUGAAGAAUUACAAAUAAUAGCUACUAAGUUUCAGGACUCUCAAGAGGUUUCCAAAACUUACAGCCUAUGUCAUGUUUUGGCUUCAUGACCUUGGACCUGGGCCAGGUAGGAGUGGUGUGGCUAAAUAACAGGAUGGGCUUGGCUGGGUGACCCAAAAAGUGAAACUGCUUUAAUGGCAAAAUAAUAAACGGCAGAAGGCAAACACACAGUACACGGUCAACCCCAAAAGGUGAAAAAAGGGUGGGUACAACAGUAUAUAUAUGGAAGAUCUGAGGGUGUAUCUAAAGGCAGGGUUCCAAUCACAGACUGAGAUUACAAAUACUAAAAAUAAUGUGGCAAAUGAUAACCAAUCAGGGGAGAGAACUAAGAACAUUCUGGAAGCAUAACCAUGAAUGAACAGGCUUGCUAACAUCCCCCAGUCUUAAACUGAUGCCCAACCAGUUCAAUCUCCACAACCCUACAUUAGGAGUAGUACAGUGAAAAUCCUUUUGAUUUUUUGGAGCAAGGCCACAUCUAGGCAUGGCUCUGAAAACAGAACAAGUGGCAGAGCCUUUGUAUUUAGACAGUUUACUUAAACACUUAGGAAACCAUUCUUUUGGACUACACCACUUCUACCAGAGCCAAAGAAAUUAUCUUGCACCACCAGCACCAGGGCUACUACCUGCAGCUCCACUGUUUGAACCACGCAUGGAACUGGGCAAAGACUGAGCUGCUCCCAGUACAGCUGGGAGAGGUGGGAAGAGACUGCAGGUAAGGGCUGGGUGAAGCAGAGCAGCUCCCUGGCCCCAGCCACACCCAGCUGUGCCUUGGCUGAAGGGAAGGCGCAGAGGAUGGAACUCAAGUGUGUUUGUUUGAGUGGCAGCACAUAGAGCUGUACAGGAACCACUGCCCUGGCACUGUGCUGAGGAGGUGAGGCCUUCCCCAUCGCAGAGCUGUGCAAUGCGUUCUCCUUUGGAUCUGAUGUACAUGGACUGUUCUCCUUCUGGGAAGUGGUUUCUCAUGCAAAGUCAGCAUCUGGUUUUCUUCUCCAUGGUAAUGUGCCAGCAAACUGAUGUCCAGUAACAAUCCCACUGAUGUUUAAUUUUUUUAACCAGAAUAUAAUAAAAUAUAUAGAAAUAAAAAUAUAAAAAAAUAUAUAGAAAUAAAAUUGCAACAAAAUUUAAACUGUGGGAUGGGAUAGUGAUGGGUUGGGUUUCGGGCAGUGGCUGAUCCACAGGCAAGAAAGGGGAGCUCAGGAGCAUCAGAAAUGGAAGUGCUGCAUCCAAUUUUUUCAGGCAUACACCUUAAACACAUGCAGAAAUGUCCACAUGCUCUCUGCUCUUACUGCCAUGCUAAAACUAAAGAAACAAGACACAUGGAUAUAAGCUGACUGUGGAUUACCUAAACACAGAGAGCAGAUGCAAGGGUUUGGGAAUAUGAGACAUCUGUUUUUAUAAACUACAGGACUACACAUUUCAUAGAGUCCAUUUCUCCAAAGCACCUUUAAGUCCAAGGCACACUGUCAAAGCAGGUCUUUCUUCAAGCAGGAAAGUGCUAUGCCAACACCAGCAAGAUCCUAUCUUGAAGAGUUUAAUCAUUUACACCGACCAACACAAAGAUGGUAAUGAAGACCAAGCUAUAUUUAUACCAGCUAGCCAACAGCUGUGAAACCUACCACAAAUGUUU